GCUUGAGAAAUAACCUCAAACUUCAAUUCAUUCACAUUUCGAAUUGACGUUCCUAAGCGAAUUCUGGUUGAUAUUUUAUAUUCAUAAAUUUCAGAUUUCGAAACAGUUCAUUUGAUAACCUUUGUAAAUGAAUUAAUCCAUGCUACUUCUACUUAAUCAGUUUUACUGAUUGUAUUAUUGAUAUUUCGUCCGUGCUUGGAUUAUCUUUUGAAAAUGCUCGAAAAGCCUCCGGACGAAAAUCUCAACUUGGGAGAUUAUCUGAUCAACCUUUUCUCGAGGAUCGGUCAUUGUUUCAUGAAUUUUUUCUUUUGCUGUUGCAUCUCAAGAAAUGAUGCGUCUGUAGAAGAAAUUAUUCCUUGCCUCGGUCAAAUGCCCACUGUGGACUCAAGUACGCAAACCGAUUUCUUACCACGUAAAAUACACGUCUCUCAACAAGUUGUUCAAAGUUCGAAUGUCAGCCCCGACGCUGAUUUAAACGCAAAAUCUGAUUCAACUCCAUCGCAAGAAUCCUUACACAGAUCAAACUCUGCUACUAAUUUAAUCGCAACAAUGUCUCCCGACUUAAAAUCUAAAAAUGUUUACUUCCGUUCCGAGGACGACAUCAUUGAACCAAAGGUUAUUCUCGAUUCAAAUGAAGAUUUCACUCCUAUUGUUAGAGCCAAAAGUGUUUCCUUCCGCCUCAAAGAUGAUAUCUGUGAACCAAAGAUUGUUCAUGACACAAAAGUUAGAAGCGCUUCUGACUCAAAAGCAAAAGCUGUUAGCUUCCAAUCAUUAUACGAUUUCCAUGAUCAAAAGGUUAUUCAAGAACUUGAUGACGAAAUUGCCUCCGAUUCUGAUUCCUUUUAUACGGCAGAACCAAUGCACGGUUCAAAGUUGUCGUAUGAUUCAGACCUAGGUAGCUAUGUUGAUUCAGGCACGGAUAGCACGAAAAGUGAAUCCUAUCAUACUGUAGAACAAGCAUCUGACCAAGAGGAAGGAGAAUGUCUUUCUUUGCGAAAUUUAAAACACAUUUUGGGUCCAAGUGUAAAAAAUGUUGGUCAUGGAAAUGUAGAAUUAAUUUCUGUAUCGCCCUGUCCAGACAUUUGUUCCUGUUCUAAAGCCUCGUAUGAUUCAGGUAAAGGCAGCCCAAUCACUGACAUUGAGAGGAUCAAUAAUUCAACUGAGGAAAAAUAUUCUUCUCUGGAGCAACGUGGAUCGCAAGAGCCAGACAGUGUUCCGAGCAGUCGUAAAGGAAGUUCGGAGAAGGAAAGAAAAUACGAUGUGAGAGAAUUGAACAACUUUCUUACAGGUGUAUCUUCUGUUCCAUGGCCUGACGAUUUCAGAGACUUUGAAGAGAUAGAUCUAGAAGAGGAGGUGUAGUAUAAAACAUUAUUUAUGAAUUGUAUUCCAAAACAGCAGUAGCUACAAUACACGACAGCAAAUCGUGGCUCACACAACUUGUAAAAACUACACUUCUUCACAUACACACACAUGCAUACACGCAUACACAUACACAAACACGCACACAUACACAUUCACAACAUUAAGGUCUUAACACUACAAAUGCCCCAACAUUUAUGGAUUUUUAAACAAGAAAGCAUUAGAGAAAUAUGCAUUGGAAAAAAAAAAAAAUAAUGCUUUAGAGUAAAUAUAAUUUGGACUGAAAGAACAAGAGACACGAAUAUAUGUUUGAACGAAUGCCAAUGAAAAAGGAAAACUAAAAAUAGCUAUAUUAGAGAUAAAUACAUCAGUACAACGAAGUAAGACAAAAAAAAAAAAAAUGAAAAGAAACGAUAUGAAAAACAUUGAUAACCGUAUAAAGGUAUAAUACAGAGAUAAAUUAUAUAUCAGAUGUAAGAAGGAGAGGGGGAAAACAACGGUUUGAAGAACAAUGGAGAGGUUAAGGAUAACGUUUGUAAUACUAAUACUAAAAUCUUAAGAGAUCGAAGAUCGAAGGCGACAGAAAAAUGGAAGAGUACAAAACAUUUCCAAUCGAUUUAAAAAAAAAAAAACUGAUGUUGAUAUUUAUAACUACAUUUCAUUGGAAAUAUAGAUUAAGGUGCACGAUUAUAAAGCCCAACGAAGACAAAAUGUCGGUUAGUAGGAAGUACUAAAAAUAUUCUUUGAAAAUGGAAGAGGAUCCGUUAGUCGAAGACCACGAAGAACAAUCUAUUCUAAGAAAUGAAUUUGAAGACAUGAAAGUUCACAAAAUAAAGCUGUCGCCUCUCUGAUACCCGGGCCACGUUCCUAGCGCCCCUCACUCACCGCCACAAACACAGACCACUUUCUGCAGCAAAUUCAGA